rnacentral:rRNA from 1 species
CAGGACGGAAAGACCCCGUGGAGCUUUACUGUAGCCUGAUAUUGAAUUUUGGUACAGUUUGUACAGGAUAGGCGGGAGCCUUUGAAACCGGAGCGCUAGCUUCGGUGGAGGCGCUGGUGGGAUACCGCCCUGACUGUAUUGAAAUUCUAACCUACGGGUCUUAUCGACCCGGGAGACAGUGUCAGGUGGGCAGUUUGACUGGGGCGGUCGCCUCCUAAAGUGUAACGGAGGCGCCCAAAGGUUCCCUCAGAAUGGUUGGAAAUCAUUCGUAGAGUGCAAAGGCAUAAGGGAGCUUGACUGCGAGACCUACAAGUCGAGCAGGGACGAAAGUCGGGCUUAGUGAUCCGGUGGUUCCGCAUGGAAGGGCCAUCGCUCAACGGA